rnacentral:rRNA from 1 species
GCAUCGAUGAAGAACGCAGCGAAAUGCGAUACUUGGUGUGAAUUGCAGAAUCCCGUGAACCAUCGAGUCUUUGAACGCAAGUUGCGCCCAAAGCCAUUAGGCUGAGGGCACGCCUGCCUGGGUGUCACAC